rnacentral:rRNA from 1 species
UACGGGGGGAGCAAGCGUUGUUCGGAUUUACUGGGCGUAAAGGGCGCGUAGGCGGCCUCCGCAAGUCGACUGUGAAAUCUCCGGGCUUAACCCGGAAAGGUCAGCCGAAACUGCGGGGCUAGAGUGCAGAAGGGGCAACUGGAAUUCUCGGUGUAGCGGUGAAAUGCGUAGAUAUCGAGAGGAACACCUGCGGCGAAGGCGGGUUGCUGGGCUGACACUGACGCUGAAGCGCGAAAGCUAGGGGAGCAAAUGGG